rnacentral:lncRNA from 1 species
UUUUAGGGCCACACUUGUGGGAUAUGAAGGUUCCUAGGCUAGGGGUCCAAUUGGAGCUAUAGCUGCUGGCCUGUGCCACAGCCACAGCAACACAGGAUCUAAGCCUCUUCUGCAGUCUACACCACAGCUCGCUCAUGGCAACACCAGAGCCUUAACCCAAUGAGCGAGGCCAGGGAUCGAACCUGUGUCGUUAUGGAUACUAGUCAGAUCUGUUUCUGCCGAGUUACAAUGAGAACUCCAAUUACCUUAUUCUUGUAAUUUAGUAAAUUUAGCUCAAAAAGAUCCACAAAUUUAGAAUAUGGUUUUGCCAGAAUCUUCACAGGCUGACCAGGCAUUGUAGUUCUGCUUUGAGCUAUGUUCAGAAAUUUGUUCUUAAGAUUUUGUGGUUUAUUUAAAUACUUUACCACCAAAGAGAUUCCCAGGAAAUUAAAUGCUUUCAGGUUGACCUUGUAAAGCUGUAAUCUCUCAUUUUGCAUGUCCAAUUAGUAGCAGAGCUUGUUUAGGGCACAAGCUGCCAUUUAAGGGCCUUGUGAAGUCCUACAUUCAUAUGUCCAGUUCAUUCAUAUGUCACAUCCACAGAAGACUGCUGGCCUUACUUUCAGUCUACUGAGGCAACGUAACUGUGUUCUGUUGCAUCAGUUUUCAGCAGUAGCUGUUCCCCUACUCAUUUCUCUCCUACACUCCUGAUGCUAGAAUUUCUGAUGUUUUAUUAACUUUAAUUCAUUUUUAACUCCCUUGUAUAAUAUAUUUCCCUCUACUAAAUAUUAUCCAUUUGAUAACCCCUCCUAUUCAGUCUAAAUAGGAAAAUGUUUAGAUAGACAUGUCUGAGAAAUUGACAUCUAUAAGUUCAUUUCCAGGAUGAUACAUGGUUCUGAACAGUAUUGAGUUGUAAUGUUGUCAACAUAAUUCAUCUAAAGAGGAUAAAUAAUUUAUUCUCAUGGGGAUAAUUUUGUUUAGGAGAGAUGACUUUCUUUGCCUGGGCCCAACUAAGAUAUAAGAAGGAGACUGGCAAUGCACUUGUUUUCUCUAAGUCUACAAAUCUUGGCAAAAUAAUUUUCCUUUAUCUUUUUAUACAUUUUAAAAAUAGAUAAUUUAGAAUAUCAAUGUGAGGUUGCCAUUUCUUAAUAGAAAAUGGGUGAAUGCAUACUCCUACAAUAGAAAAUAAAAUAAUAAUGCUUUAAAACGGGCAUUGGCAAAUUGCGGACAGUGGGUCAAAUUUGGCCUGCAGCCUCUUUCUGUAUGACCCAUGAGUAACCAUGGUUUUUACAUUUUUAAAGUUGUAAACACACACGUACAUACACACACACCAGAACCAAAUCCGACUAGGAACCAUGAGGUCGUGGGUUUGAUCCCCGGCCUCGUUCAGUGGGUUAAGGAUCUGGCAUGGCCAUGAGCUGUGGUAUAGCUUGCAGAUGCAGCUUGGAUCCUGCAUUGCUGCAGCUGUGGCAUAGGCUGACAGCUGCAGCUCCGAUUAGACCCCUAACCUGGGAACCUCUAUAUGCCUUGGGCCCAGCCCUAAAAAGUAAAUAAAUAAAUAAAAUAUUUUCUAUGGAAUAGGUAGAUAAAAUUUUAUAUGUAUUACCUCAGUGAAAUCUCAGAGGAAGCUUAAAUGUAUUGAGAAUUGAAGUAUCAUCCCCAUUUUGGGGAUAAGAAAACUGAGAUGUGAAAGGUUAAUAUCACAUACCUUCUAAGUGUCAGAGGUAAGACUUAUACUAAGGCAGUUGGGGAAUUAGAGAUUGUAUCUAUAACCAGUAUACUGUAGCGCUUCAGAAUCUGACCUGACAUCAUUUGUUUGCUUUGGGUGGGUGUGGGUGUGUGUGUGUGUAUGGGGGGGGGAGUGUGUGUGUAUGUGUCUGAAUCCCCCUCUUGACAUCAAUCUACAGUUAGUCAAAAUAGGGUGGUGAUUAUGUGAUUGGCAGAAGGCAGAAUAUUGUUUAAACAUAAGACAGGAGUUCCCACUGUGGCACAAAGGGUUAAUGAUCCAGCAUUGCCACAGUUGUGGCAUAGGUUGCAGCUGUGGCUAGGAUUCAAUCCCUGGCCCUGGAAUUUCCAUAUACUGCAGGUGCAUCCCCCCAAACAAACAAACAAACAAACAAACAAAAAAAACAAGACAAAGUAUAUGAGUUUCUAGAAGCAUGUAAAGGGCAAAGCUACUGCACAGAAAUUGGCAAUACAGUGCAGUAAACACAGCAGCACUAUCAGUUGAAUGAGUAAGACGCUCUUGCUCUCAAAUCCCCAUAAAGUUGUCUGCCUACUAAUAAUACUACUUAAUUGGGGUGAUGACUCUUUAGGACACUAUCGUUGACAACCUCAUAGUGGUUUUAUAUGUAAUCCUGGUCCCUCUCAGCUGUUGUCUACAAAUUUAUGCUAUAUGCCUGUCUGCCCAACAUUUGAAAAUACUGUAAUUGGUAACACUUCCAAAGCAUCCUUCAGUGCUAUUGUGACUGGAUAGAUUAAAGGUAAAUUCUGCUUCCACUCCAUUGGCAGGUUUUAGGCUUCAGGUCUGCCUGAAGCAUAUUCCUGCAGUAGACAGUUUGCUCUUUUUUCUGAUAGCUUUUCUUCUCUUACUUGGUUUUUCUAUAUGUAAAUUCCAGGAGAGCUUUGAUUUGUUAUGAAAGAAUUCCUAUCUCUAUUGCAACUUUCUCCUGUGCAUUACUCUGGGCUCUGGCCCCCUCAAUUACAGUUUCUUUGUUGGUUUAAUUUUAUCGCCUUUGGUUUUGCAGGUAUCUGUUAAAAUCUUUAGCUUGUCAUUAUACAUUCAGCACCUUUAUAAAUUUAUUCCUUUUCUAGAUUUAUAGCAUUAUUUCAAGAGGACUUUUGGGAGGGAAAGAGAAGUAAACAUAUGUACCGGCUCCAUCAUUUUGAACUAGAACCUAUCAAAAUUUAUGUGGCAAGGAAAUGCAUUUGGGGAUAUACUGAUAGGUUUCCUUCCACUUGUUUUAUUGCAUUUCUUUGCCUUUAUUUUGGGAGCUUUCCCAUCAGCCCUGGAAUGAUGAAAAUAAGAGAAUCCAAGAAGCAAUUCUUCAUUUUAAGUUCAAAAAUCUAUGAUGGAACACAGAAAACUUUUGGGCAGAUAUAUUAGUUUCUUGUCCCUAGACUAGGAAAGACUCUGUGCAAUGGGAAAGGGAAGAGAAGAGGGACUACAUGGACUGACAUGAUGUCAAUCUCAAGAGAUGACCAAGCUCUGU